GAUGAACGCUGGCGGCGUGCUUAACACAUGCAAGUCGAACGGGAUCCAAGGGGUGCUUGCACUUUUUGGUGAGAGUGGCGAACGGGUGAGUAACACGUGAGUAACCUGUCCUUUUCUUUGGGAUAAGCAUUCGAAAGGGUGUUUAAUACCUUAUGUUCUGUCUGCCUCGCAUGGGGUGGGUGGGAAAGGCUUUGGCCGGAGUUGGGUGGGCUCGCGGUCUAUCAGCUUGUUGGUGGGGUGAUGGCUUACCAAGGCUUUGACGGGUAGCCGGCCUGAGAGGAUGGUCGGUGACAGUGGGACUGGGAUACGGGCCAGACACAUGCGGGAGGCAGCAGUGGGGGAUAUUGCAGAUUGGGCGAAAGCCUGAUGCAGCGACGCCGCAUGGAGGAUGAAGGCGUUCGGGUUGUAAGCUUCUUUUGCUCUGAGCAAGGCAAGCCAGUAUGUGUGUUGAGUGUAGGGGUUGAUUAGCGCCGGCUAACUACGUG
rnacentral:rRNA from 1 species